rnacentral:rRNA from 1 species
AGAGUUUGAUCAUGGCUCAGGACGAACGCUGGCGGCGUGCCUAAUACAUGCAAGUCGAGCGAGUGUAGCAAUACACGAGCGGCGGACGGGUGAGUAACGCGUGGGCAAUCUGCCCUCUAGCCUGGGAUAACAGUUCGAAAGGACUGCUAACACCGGAUAUUAUAGUUUCGCGGCAUCGCGAAACUAUGAAAGUUUACACU